rnacentral:piRNA from 1 species
UUCGUUUAUUCUUUGCGGUAC